AAAUAUAUUGAAUUCUGGCACAGAUCGAGGGUGAUCACUCUGUCCAACCUAGAGGACGAGUUCAUUUGGAAAUGGUCAUCUGAUGGAAGAUACAAUGCUAAGUCAGCUUACCUAUGUCAAUUCUGGGGCAAGAUUGAUUCUCCUCUAUCUGAGAUUAUAUGGCAUAUUAAGGUUCCACCAAAAAUAAGAUUCUUCAACUGGCUCUUUGUACAGGGCAAAUGUUUGACUGCAGAUAACCUUGCAAAGCGGGGUUGGCCUCACAACCAGGUCUGUCAACUAUGUCAUUUAGGGAUGGAAGACAGCCUACACCUUGUAGCUAGUUGCCCUUUCACGGCUGGAAUCUGGGGCUAUUGCUUGGCGAUAUAUAAGUUCCCUUCAACCUCUUGCCUACUGCUCAUGAUGGCUCUCUAUUGGACUGGUGGUUAA
rnacentral:rRNA from 1 species